AGAGUUUGAUCCUGGCUCAGGAUGAACGCUAGCUACAGGCUUAACACAUGCAAGUCGAGGGGAAACGACAUCGAAAGCUUGCUUUUGAUGGGCGUCGACCGGCGCACGGGUGAGUAACGCGUAUCCAACCUGCCCACCACUUGGGGAUAACCUUGCGAAAGUAAGACUAAUACCCAAUGAUAUCUCUAGAAGACAUCUGAAAGAGAUUAAAGAUUUAUCGGUGAUGGAUGGGGAUGCGUCUGAUUAGCUUGUUGGCGGGGUAACGGCCACCAAGGCGACGAUCAGUAGGGGUUCUGAGAGGAACGGUCCCCCACAUUGGAACUGAGACACGGUACCAAACUCCUACGGAGGCA
rnacentral:rRNA from 1 species